GAUCAUGGCUCAGGACGAACGCUGGCGGCGUGCUUAACACAUGCAAGUCGAACGGGAUUUAGUAAACAGAAGCCUCGGUGGAAGAUUACUAAUGAGAGUGGCGAACGGGUGAGUAACGCGUGAGCAACCUGCCUAUGACAGUGGGAUAGCCUCGGGAAACCGGGAUUAAUACCGCAUAAAAUCGUAGAAACACAUGUUUUAACGGUCAAAGAUUUAUCGGUCAUAGAUGGGCUCGCGUCUGAUUAG
rnacentral:rRNA from 1 species